CCUACGGGUGGCAGCAGUGGGGAAUAUUGGGCAAUGGAGGAAACUCUGACCCAGUGACGCCGCGUGAAGGAAGAAGGUUUUCGGAUUGUAAACUGCUUUAGACAGGGAAGAAACAAGACAGUACCUGUACAUUAAGCUCCGGCUAACUACAUACCAGCAGCCUCGGUAAUACUGAGGGAGCAAGCGUUAUCCGGAUUUAUUGGGUUUAACGGGUGCGUAGACGGGAAGUCAAGUUGGUUGUGAAAUCAAUCGGCUUAACUGAGGAACUGCAAACAAAACUAACUGUCUUGAGUGCUGGAGAGGUAAGCGGAAUUCCUGGUGUAGCGGUGAAAUGCGUAGAUAUUAGGAGGAACACCAGUGGCGAAGGCGACUUUCUGGACAGUAACUGACGUUGAGGCACGAAAGUGUGGGGAGCAAACAGGAUUAGAUAACCCUGUAGUC
rnacentral:rRNA from 1 species